rnacentral:lncRNA from 1 species
UUUUUUUUUGUGACUAGACUCGACUUCGGCCAAGGAGUGUGGAAGGGGGUUCCUACAGGCAGUCGGCUCUGACAGCAACUUGUGAUGCCCUUGAUUCAAUCGUACACUAAUCAUGCACGCAAACGUGUAGGAUCAAGAUCAGGGACUCACGGGAAGAUAUCACAACAUAACUCUAAAAGUAAAUUAAGUCAUACAAGCAUCAUAUUACAAGCCAGGGGCCUCGAGGGCUCGAAUACACGUGCUCGAACAUAAACAAGUCAGCGGAAGCAACAAUAUCUGAGUACAGACAUAAGUUAAACAAGUUACCAUAAGAUGGCUAGCACAAACUGGGAUACAGAUCGAAAGAGGCGCAUGCCUCCUGCCUGUGAUCCUCUUAAACUACUCCUCAUUGGCGGCAACCUGAACGUAGUAGUUGGAACCCUCAGUGUAGGAGGGGUCAUCGUCGAAGGUGGCGUCUAUCUCCUGGGCUCCAACAUCUUGUUGCGGCAUCCGAGAAGAAGAGGAAAAAAGGGGGGGAGAGGGAACAAAGCAACCGUGAGUACUCAUCCAAAGUACUCGCGAGCAAGGAUCUACACUACAUAUGCACGGGUAUAUGUGUAAAGAGGCAAUAUCGGUGGACUGAACUGCAGGAUGUCAGAAUAAGAGGGGGAUAGCUAGUCCUAUUGAAGACUACGCUUCUGGAAGCCUCCAUCUUGCAGCAUGUAGAAGAGAGUAGAUUGAAGUUCACCAAGUAUCAUCGCAUAGCAUAAUCCUACCCGGCGAUCCUCCCCUCAUCGCCCUGUGGGAAAGCGAUAACCGGGAUGUCUCUGGAAAUUGUCUGGGUGUUUUAUUAAGUAUCUAGUUCUAGUUGUCAUAAGGUCAAGGUACAACUCUGGGUCGUCCUUUUACCGAGGGACACGACUAUUCGAAUAGAUAAACUUCCCUGCAGGGGUGCACCACAUUUCCCAACAUGCUCGAUCCCUCUGUCUGGACACACUUUCCUGGGUCAUGCCGGCCUUGGAAGAUCAACACGUCGUCGCCCCGCCUCGGCACAACAGAGAGGUCAACACGCCGUCUAAAUCCUAUGCACGUAGGGGUCUGUGCCCAUCGCCCAUUGCACACCUGCAUAUUGCGAACGCGGCUGGUGAGCAGACCUAGCCUCCCUUAUACAAGAGCAGGCGCUCCAGACCAACCCGACGCGCGCUGCUCAGUUGUUGAUGUCAAGAAGGCUUCGGCUGAUACCACGACAUCGAGUGCCCAUAACUGUUCUCGCGUAGUUGGUUAGUGCGUAUAGGCCAGUGGCCAGACUCAGAUCAAGUACCAAGAUCUCAUUAAGCAUGUUAUUUUGUAGUAACCACAGAGCCGACCAGGGUCAGGCCCACCUCUCGCCUAGGUGAUCUCAACCUGCUCUCUCGCUCGGCCACAAAGAUCAACUCACGGGUACUCUACGAGUUGACCCGACUUUAGUCACCAUCUAUAUAGUAUGUAUGUAUGUAUAAUAUAUACCCGUGAUCACCUCCCGAGUGAUGAUGGCCUGAUAGUAUAGCAAGGCAGACGGACAAGAAUGUAGGGCCACAGAUGAUAAACUAGCAUCCUAUACUAAGCAUUUAGGAUUGCAUAUAAGGUAUCAACAACUGUAGCAACAUUGACAGGCUAUGCAACAAAAUAGGAUUAACCGAAAUAGUAACAUGCUACACUACUCUAAUGCAGGCAGUAGAGGGAAGAAUAGGCGAUAUCUGGUGAUCGGGGGGGCUUGCCUGGUUGCUUUGGCAAGAAGGAGGGGUCGUCAACUCCGUAGUCGACCGGGGCAGCAGCGACGUCGGUCUCCUAGUCUACCGGAGAGAAGCGGGGGAAGAAACAAUAAAUAUAAUGCAAACAUAAGCAUGAUGAAGCAUGACAUGACAAUGAGCGGUGCUAAGUGUGCCCUAACGUGGUAGUAGGUGAUAUCGGCGAAGGAGGAAACAUCCGGGAAAGUAUCCCCGGUGUUUCACAUUUUCGGACAGAUGAACCGGAGGUGAAAUUUUGCGUGUUCGCUAUGCUAUGGACGUGUGGCUGACGAACAGGCUGCAUAUUCGGAUUCGUCUCGUCGUUCUGAGCAACUUUUCAUGUACAAAGUAUUUUCAUCCGAGCUACGGUUUAUUUUAUAUUAAUUUCCAAUGUUUUAAAUCAUUUUUGGAAUUAAAAGAAUUAAUUUGAUUUGAAAAUUAUUUUAUGACAUCAUCAUGAUGUCAACAUGACGUCAGCGGUCAAAUCUGACCGUUGACUGGUCAAACUAACAAGUGGGGCCCGCUGUCAUUGACUUAGAUUAACAACACAUGAUUAGUUUAUUUAAAUAAGUGAUUAGGUUAAUUAAUUAGAGUUAAUUAAAUUAAUUAUUAUUUUUAUUUUUAUUUUUAUAUAUAUUUUCAAAUUGUUCUGGGGCGGGGCCCCCUAGCAUUGGCCCCAAGGGGCGCACGGGCGAAACGGGCAGCGGGCACCUGCGCGUGGCUGAACUCGGCACAGCGCUGCGAGGCACCGGGGCCACGGUGCUGGCCAGGCGGCCGGAGCGGCGGCCGCCGCGGUGAGAGGCUGCGCAGGGACACGGGGCGGCGGUGGUCGGCGAGCAGCUGCAGCGGGGCGGAGCAGGAGAAGCGGCAGGGUGGAGCCGGUGGUGAGAGGGGCCCAGCAGUGGGCGCGACGUAAAGAGUGGGGCGGCGAGGUUGCGUGGUGGGCGAGGGCGCUGGCCGCAGCCGUGACAGAACAGCAGUAGGCGGGAGGCACAAGCCAAGGCGGCUAGCUUCUGUCGGCCGGACGGUGCAGCGGAGUUGAGGGCGGAGUGCAGCGAGGCGCGGGCAGGCACGGGCGACCGCGGGGUGUGCACGGGGGCGGAUGUCAGGGAGGCGGAGGAGGGCCGCGGCCGUAGGUGGGCGCGGGGCACCGGGGCGCACCGGCAUGCGGGCAGCGCGAGCGCGCACGCGACAAGCGGCCAGGCUUAAAAGCGGGAGGCGAGCGCGACCACUAUGGAGCGGGCACGCGACACUGCAGCAUGGCGCGGGUGCCAUGUGUGUGCGGGACAGCGCGUGCGCUGGACGAGGGAAAAAGGAGGUCACGGUCCUCACCGUGCGACAUAGGGCACGGGGCAGUGGGGCGUGGGGAGGAGGUCGGAGACGGAGUUUCGGCGAGGAUGCAGGCCGUCGAGGGCGCGUUCCGGCGAGGUCCAGGCGGCACCGGGGGCGUCGGGUGGCGGGGGGGUUCCGAGCGGCGGCGGCAGUUCUUCCCCCAGAUCCAAUCGGGGGGCAGAGGAGGGGAGAGGGGGGUCAAGGGAGUGGGGGAGUGGGGGCGAAGUGGGGGGGUUAGGGUUUGGGGGGAACGAGGCCAUAUAUGGCAGGGGGUUGGGGUGGGCCGGCCUGGCUGUUAUCUGGGCCAAGGCCCAGGGGAAAGGGGGUUUUCUUUUUCGUUUUUUUUUUUUGGUUUUCUAUUUUCUAUUUUCCCUUUUUCUUUAUUUUUCUUUACUGUUUUCAUUCACUUCAAACAUAUAGGCCUUUUUAUAAAAAGCACGGUUUCUUCAUGAGAAAUAGUUAGGGAAUAUUUUCGACACAUCGAACAUUUUUCCUUAUCAGUUGGAAGAAAUAAAAUUUGACUUGUUUUUUUUGGAAUUUGAAUUUGACCUUAGUUUGAAACAAGUGAGGUUUAGCAAAAUUUUAAUUAUGAUGACUUGGCAUCAUUUAGAGGGUCACUGUAGCUUAACUAUCCAGGCGUUACAAUUCUACAUCAAAAAUUCUGUUUUUAUCAUUUACCUACUCGAGGACGAGCAAGAAUUAAGCUUGGGGAUGUUUGAUACGUCUCCAACGUAUCUAUAAUUUUUUAUUGUUCCAUGCUAUUAUAUUAACUGUUUUGGCUGUUUUAUAUGCAUUUAUAUGUUAUUUUAUAUUAUUUUUGGGACUAAACUAUUUACCUAGAGCCCAGUGCCAGUUUAUAUUUUCUCCUUGCUUUUGAGUUCUACAGAAAAGGAAUACCAAACGGAAUCCAAAUGAGCUAAAACUUUACGAUGAUUUUUUAUGGACCAGAAGAAGCCCGCGGAGUAUUAGAGAUGGACCAGAAGAGCCACGAGGCAUCCACAAGGGUGAAGGGCGCCCCUAGAGCGCGCCCCCUGCCUUUUCGUCUCCUCGUGGACCCCCUGUCUUGUCCCCGACACAAAAAAUUCUUAUAAAUAGAGAAAACACCAGAAAGAAACCAAGAUCAGGAGUUCCGCCGCCGCAAGCCUCUGUAGCCAUGAAAAACCAAUCGGAAGCCCAUUCCGGCACCCUGCCGAAGGGGGGAACCAUCACUGGUGGCCAUCUGCAUCAUCCCGGCGGUCUCCAUGACGAGGAGGGAGUAGUUCACCCUCGGGCUGAGGGUAUGUACCAGUAGCUAUGUGUUUGAUCUCUCUCUCUCGUGUUCUUGAUUUGGCACGAUCUUGAUGUACCGCAAGCUAUGCUACUAUAGUUGGAUCAUAUCGUGUUUCUCCCUCUCUAACUUCUUGUGAUGAAUUGAGUUUUACCUUUGAGGUUACACUAUUAUCGGAUUGAAUACUUUUAUGGAUUUGAGAACACUUCAUGUAAGUCUUGUGUGGGAUACCCGUAGUGACAAUGGGGUGUUCUAUUGAUUCACUUGAUGUAUGUUUUGGCACUCAACUCGUGGAUUCCGGAGGUGACAUUGGGGUAAUCUACGCAUAGGGGUUGAUGCACGUUUUCAUCCAUGUUUCUCCGAUAGAAACCUUGGGGCACUCUUUGAAGUUCUUUGUGUUGGAUUGAAUAUUAUGAAUUUGAAGUUGUUUGAUGCAUAUGGUAUAAUUGACCCAUGGAUACUUUUGGUGACAUUGGAGUAUCUAGGUGACAUUAGGGUUGAUUGAUGUGUGUCAUAUGGUGUUAUUUUACUACGAACUCUAGGGUUGUUUGUGACACUUAUAGGAAUAGCUCAAUGGAUUGAUUGGAAAUAAUAACUUUUAGGUGGUUUCGUACCCUACGAGCAAUUUCAUCUUAUGUUCUCCAUGAUAGGAACUUUCGAGUGAUUCUUCAUUGCACGUUGAUGGAUUAUUAUAUGAUCCAAUUAUGUUAUCAUUGUUGAGAGAACUUUCUCUAGUGAAAGUAUGAACCCUAGGCCUUGUUUCCAAGCAUUGCAAUACCGUUUUGGCUCACUUUUGUUACUAGUUACCUUGCUGUUUUUAUAUUUUCAGAUUACAAAAACCUAUAUCUACCAUCCAUAUUACACUUGUAUCACCAUCUCUUUGCCGAACUAGUGCACCAAUACAAUUUACCAUUGUAUUGGGUGUGUUGGGGACACAAGAGACUCCUUGUUAUUUGGUUGCAGGCUUGUUUGAGAGAGACCAUCUUCAUCCUACGCCUCCCAUGGAUUGAUAAACCUUAGGUCAUCCACUUGAUGGAAAUCUACUAUUGUCCUACAAAACUCUGCGCUUAGAGGCCCAACACGAGUCUAAAAGAAAAAGGUUGCGUAGUAGACAUCAGGGUGCGACCGCCUAUGUUGGGGAACAUAGUAAUUUAAAAAAAAGAUCCUACACACACGCAAGAUCAUGGUGAUGCAUAGCAACGAGAGGGGAGAGUGUUGUCCACGUACCCUCAUAGACCGAUAGCGGAAGCAUUAUAACAACGCGGUUGAAGUAGUCGUACGUCUUCACGUCCCGACCGAUCAAGCACCGAAACUACGGCACCUCCAAGUUCUAGCACAUGUUCAGCUCGAUGACGAUCCCCGGACUCUGAUCCAGCAAAGUGUCGGGGAAGAGUUCUGUCAGCACGACAGCAUGGUGACGAUCUUGAUGUUCUACCGUCGCAGCGCUUCGCCUAAGCACCGCUACAGUAUUAUCGAGGUGGACUAUGGUGGAGGGGGGCACCGCACACGGCUAAGAGAUCCAAGGGAUCAAUUGUUGUUGUUGUGCCUAGAGGUGUCCCCUUGCCCCCGUAUAUAAAGGAUCCAAGGGGAGGGGGUCGGCCGGCCAGGAGGGGCGCGCCAGGAGGAGUCCUCCUCCCACCGGGAGUAGGACUCCCCCCCCCCUUCCUUGUUGGAGUAGGAGAGAAGGAAAGAGGGGGAGAGGAGGAAGGAAAAGGGGGCUGCACCCCUUGUCCAAUUCAGACCAGAGGGGGGCUGCGCGCCUCCUUCCUUUUGGCCUCUCUCCUCUAUUCCCGUAAGGCCCAAUAAGGCCCAUAUACUCCCCGGCGAAUUUCCGUAACUCUCUGGUACUCCGAAAAAUACCCGAAUCACUCAGAACCUUUCCGAAGUCCGAAUAUAGUCGUCCAAUAUAUCGAUCUUUACGUCUUGACUAUUUCAAGACUCCUCGUCAUGUCUCCGAUCUCAUCCAGGACUCCGAACUCCUUCGGUACAUCAAAACUCAUAAACUCAUAAUAUAACUAUCAUCGAAACCUUAAGCGUGCGUACCCUACGGGUUCGAGAACUAUGUAGACAUGACCUAGAAUUGUUUCCGGUCAAUAACCAAUAGCGGAACAUGGAUGCUCAUAUUGGCUCCCACAUAUUCUACGAAGAUCUUUAUCGGUCAGACCGCAUAACAACAUACGUUGUUCCCUUUGUCAUCGGUAUGUUACUUGCCCAAGAUUCGAUCGGUAUCUCAAUACCUAGUUCAAUCUCGUUAUCGGCAAGUCUCUUUACUCGUUACGUAAUACAUCAUCCCGCAACUAACUCAUUAGUUGCAAUGCUUGCAAGGCUUACAGUGAUGUGCACUACCGAGUGGGCCCAGAGAUACCUCUCCGACAAUCGGAGUGACAAAUCCUAAUCUCGAAAUACGCCAACCCAACAUGUACCUUCGGAGACACCUAUAGAGCUCCUUUAUAAUCACCCGGUUACGUUGUGACGUUUGGUAGCACACAAAGUGUUCCUCCGGUAAACGGGAGUUGCAUAAUCUCAUAGUCAUAGGAACAUGUAUAAGUCAUGAAGAAAGCAGUAGCAACAUACUAAACGAUCAAGUGCUAAGCUAACGGAAUGGAUCAAGUCAAUCACAUCAUUCUCCUAAUGAUGUGAUCCCGUUAAUCAAAUGACAACUCUUUGUCCAUGGCUAGAAAACAUAACCAUCUUUGAUUAAUGAGCUAGUCAAGUAGAGGCAUACUAGUGACACUCAGUUUGUCUAUGUAUUCACACAUGUAUCGUGUUUCCGGUUAAUACAAUUCUAGCAUGAAUAAUAAACAUUUAUCAUGAAAUAAGGAAAUAAAUAAUAACUUUAUUAUUGCCUCUAGGGCAUAUUUCCUUCAGUCUCCCACUUGCACUAGAGUCAAUAAUCUAGUUCACAUCAUCAUGUGAUUUAAUACCAAUAUUCAUAUCUGUAUAUGAUUAACACCCAUAGUUCACAUCGUCAUGUGACCAACACCCAAAGGGUUUACUAGAGUUAAUAAUCUAGUUCACAUUGCUAUGUGAUUAACACCCAAAGAGUACUAAGGUAUGAUCAUGUUUUGCUCGUGAGAGAAGUUUAGUCAACGGGUCAGUCACAUUCAGAGCCGUAUGUAUUUUGCAAAUAAUCUAUGUCUACAAUGCUCUGCACGGAGCUACUCUAGCUAAUUGCUCCCACUUUCAAUAUAUCCAGAUAGAGACUUAGAGUCAUCUAGAUCGGUGUAAAAGCUUGCACCGAUGUAACUCUUUACGACGGGCUCUUUUUAUCACCUCCAUAAUCGAGAAACAUCUCCUUAGUCCUCACUAAGGAUAUUCUUGACCGUUGUCCAGUGAUCUACUCUUAGAUCAAAAUUGUAUUCCUUUGCCAAAAUCAGAGCAAGGUAUACAAUAGGUCAGGUACACAGCAUAGCAUACUUUAUAGAACCUAUGACUGAAACAUAGGGAAUGACUUUUCAUUCUCUUUCUAUUUUCUGCCAUGGUCGGGUUUUGAGUCUUACUCAACUUCACACCUUGCAACACAAGCAAGAACUCUUUCUUUGACUGUUCCAUUUUGAACUACUUCAAAAUCUUGUCAAGGUAUGUACUCAUUGAAAAAUCUUAUCAAGCGUCUUGAUCUAUCUCUAUAGAUCUUGAUGCUCAAUGUGUAAGCAGCUUCAUCGAGGUCUUUCUUUGAAAAACUCCUUUCAAACACUCCUUUAUGCUUUCCAGAAAAUUCUACAUCAUUUCCAAUCAACAAUAUGUCAUUCACAUGUACUUAUCAGAAAGACUGUAGUGCUCCCACUCACUUUCUUGUAAAUACAGGCCUUUCCAAAAGUCUGUAUAAAACCAUAUGCUUUGAUCAACUCAUCAAAGCGUAUAUUCCAAUCCGAGAUGCUUGCACCAGUCCAUUGAUGGAUCGCUGGAGCUUGCACAUUUUGUUAGCACCUUUCGGAUCGACAAAACCUUCUGGUUGCAUCAUAUACAACUCUUCUUCUUGAAAUCCAUUCAGGAACACAGUUUUGAUAUCCAUUUGCCAGAUUUCGUAAAAUGUGGCAAUUGCUAACAUGAUUCAGAUAGACUUAAGCAUCGUUAUGAGUGAGAAAAUCUCAUCAUAUUCAACACCUUGAACUUGUCCAAAACCUUUCGCAACAAGUCGAGCUUUGUAGAUAGUAACACUACUAUCAGUGUCCGCCUUCCUCUAGAAGAUCCAUUUAUUUAACUUGGCUUGUUGAUCAUCAGGCAAGUCAACCAAAGUCCAUACUUUGUUCUCAUACAUGGAUCCCUAUCUUAGAUUUUAUGGCCUCAAGCCAUUUCGCGGAAUCUGGGCUCACCAUCGCUUCUUCAUAGUUCAUAGGUUCAUCAUGGUCUAGUAACAUGACUUCUAGAACAGGAUUACCGUACCACUCUGGUACGAAUUUUAUUCUGGUUGAUCUACGAGGUUCAGUAACAACUUGAUCUGAAGUUCCAUGAUCAUCAUCAUUAACUUCCUCACUAAUUGGUGUAGGUGUCACAGGAACAGAUUUCUGUGAUGAGCUACUUUCCAAUAAGGGAGCAGGUACAGUUACCUCAUCAAGUUCUACUUUCCUCCCACUCACUUCUUUCAAGAGAAACUCCUUCUCCAGAAAGUUUCUGAACUUAGCUACAAACGUUUUUCCUUCGGAUCUGUGAUAGAAGGUGUACCCAACGGUCUCCUUUGGGUAUCCUAUGAAGACACAUUUCUCCGAUUUGGGUUCGAGCUUAUUAGGUUGAAGCUUUUUCACAUAAGCAUCGCAGGCCCAAACUUUCAGAAAUGACAACUUUGGUUUCUUGCUAAACCACAGUUCAUAAGGCGUCGUCUCAACGGAUUUUGAUGGUGCCAUAUUUAAAGUGAAUGCAGCUCUCUCUAAUGCAUAACCCCAAAACGAUAGUGGUAAAUCAGUAAGAGACAUCAUAGAUUGCACUAUAUCCAAUAAAGUACCGUUAUGAUGUUCGGACACACCAUAACGCUGUGGUGUUCCAUGUGGCGUGAGCUGUGAAGCUGUUCCACAUUUUUUAUAUGAAGGCCAAACUCGUAACUCAAAUAUUCUUCUCCAUGAUCAGAUCGUAGAAACUUUAUUUUCUUGUUACGAUGAUUCUCCACUUCACUCUGAAAUUCUUUGAACUUUUCAAAUGUUUCAGACUUGUGUUUCAUUAAGUAGAUAUACUCAUAUCUGCUCAAAUCAUCUUGUGAAGGUCAGAAAAAUAAUGAUACCUGCCACGAGCAUCAACACUCAUUGGACCGCAUACAUCGGUAUGUAUUAUUUCCAAUAAGUCACUAGCUCGUUCCAUUGUUCCGGAGAACGGAGUUUUAGUCAUCUUGCCCAAAAGGCACGGUUCGCAAGCAUCAAAUGAUUCAUAAUCAAGUGAUUCCAAAAGUCCAUUUUUAUGGAGUUUCUUCAUGCGCUUUACACCGAUAUGACCUAAACGGCAGUGCCACAAAUAUGUUGCACUAUCAUUAUCAACUUUGCAUCUUUUGGCAUCAAUAUUAUGAAUAUGUGUAUCACUACGAUCGAGAUCCAACAAACUAUUCUCAUUGGGUGUAUGACCAUUGAAGGUUUUAUUCAUGUAAACAGAACAACAAUUAUUCUCUGACUUUAAAUGAAUAACCGUAUUGCAAUAAACAUGAUCAAAUCAUAUUCAUGCUCAACGCAAACGCCAAAUAACAUUUAUUUAUGUUUAACACUAAUCCCGAAAGUAUAGGGAGUGUGCGAUGAUGAUCAUAUCAAUCUUGGAACCACUUCCAACACACAUCGUCACUUCACCCUCAACUAGUCUCUGUUUAUUCUGUAGCUCAUGUUUCGAGUUACUAAUUUUUAGCAACCGAACAAGUAUCAAAUACUCAGGGGCUACUAUAAGCACUAGUAAGGUACACAUUAAUAACAUGUAUAUCAAAUAUACCCUUGUUCACUUUGCCAUCCUUCUUAUUUACCAAAUAAUCAGGGCAUUUCCGCUUCCAGUGACCAUUUCCUUUGCAAUGUAAGCACUCAGUUUCAGGCUUUGGUCCAUCUUUGGUCUUCUUCGCGGGAGUGACAACUUGCUUGCCAUUCUACUUGAAGUUCCCCUUUCUUUCCCUUUGCCCUUUUCUUGCAACUAGUGGUCUUGUCAAUCAUCAACACUUGAUGCUCUUUUCUUGAUUUCUACCUUCGUCGAUUUCAGCAUCACGAAGAGCUCGGGAAUCGUUUUUGUUAUCCCUUGCAUUAUAGUUCAUCACGAAGUUCCAGUAACUUGGUGAUGGUGACUAGAGAACUCUGCCAAUCACUAUCUUAUCUGGAAGAUUAACUCCCACUUGAUUCAAGCGAUUGUAGUACUCAGACAAUCUAAGUACUUGCUCACUAGUUGAGCAAUUCUCCUCCAUCUUUUAGCUAUAGAACUUGUUGGAGACUUCAUAUCUCUCAACUCGGGUAUUUGCUUGAAAUAUUAACUUCAACUCCUGGAACAUCUCAUAUGGCCCAUGACGUUCAAAACGUCUUUGAAGUCCCGAUUCUAAGUCGUUAAGCAUGGUGCACUAAACUAUCAAGUAGUCAUCAUAUUGAGCUAGCCAAACGUUCAUAACGUCUGCAUCUGCUCCUGCAACAGGUAUGUCACCUAGCGGUGCAUCAAGGACAUAAUUCUUCUAUGCAGCAAUGAGGAUAAACCUCAGAUCACGGACCAAGUCUGCAUCAUUUCUACUAACAUCUUUCAACUUAUUUUUCUCUAGGAACACAUAUAAAAAGAUAAGGAAGCAACAACGCGAGCUAUUGAUCUACAACAUAAUUUGCAAAAUACUACCAGGACUAAGUUCAUGAUAAAUUAAAGUUCAAUUAAUCACAUUACUUAAGAACUCCCACUUGGAUAGACAUCCCUCUAAUCCUCUAAGUGAUUACGUGAUCCAUAUCAAAUACACCAUGUCCGAUCAUCACGUGAGAUGGAGUAGUUUCAACGCUGAACAUCAAUAUGUUGAUCGUAUCUACUAUAUGAUUCACGCUCGACCUUUCGGUCUCCGUGUUCUGAGGCCAUAUCUGUUAUAUGCUAGGCUCGUCAAGUUUAACCUGAGUAUUCCGCGUGUGCAACUGUUUUGCACCCAUUGUAUUUGAACGUAGAGCCUAUCACACCCGAUCAUCACGUGGUGUCUCAGCACGAAGAACUUUUGCAACGGUGCAUACUCAGGGAGAACACUUCUUGAUAAUUUUAGUGAGAGAUCAUAUUAAAAUGCUACCGUCAAUCAAAGCAAGAUAAGAUGCAUAAAGGAUAAACAUCACAUGCAAUCAAUAUAAGUGAUAUGAUAUGGCCAUCAUCAUCUUGUGCUUGUGAUCUCCAUCUCCGAAGCACCUCCAUGAUCACCAUCGUCACCGGCGCGACACCUUGAUCUCCAUCGUAGCAUCAUUGUCGUUUACGCCGUCUAUUGCUUCUACGACUAUCCCUACCGCUUAGUGAUAAAGUAAAGCAAUUACAGGGCGUUUGCAUUUCAUACAAUGAAGCGACAACCAUAUGUCUCCUGACAGUUGCCGAUAACUUCGGUUACAAAACAUGAUCAUCUCAUACAAUAAAAUAUAGCAUCACGUCUUGACCAUAUCACAUCACAACAUGCCCUGCAAAAACAAGUUAGACGUCCUCUACUUUGUUGUUGCAAGUUUUACGUGGCUGCUACGGGCUUAGCAAGAACCGUUCUUACCUACGCAUCAAAACCACAACGAUAGUUUGUCAAGUUGGUGCUGUUUUAACCUUCGCAAGGACCGAGCGUAGCCACACUCGGUUCAACUAAAGUGAGAGAGACAGACACCCGCCAGUCACCUUUAAGCACGAGUGCUCAUAACGGUGAAACCAGUCUCGCGUAAGCGUACGCGUAAUGUCGGUCCGGACCGCUUCAUCUCAUAAUACCGCUGAAUCAAAGUAUGACAUGCUGGUAAGCAGUAUGAAUUAUAUCGCCCACAACUCACUUGUGUUCUACUCGUGGAUAUGGCAUCUAAGCAUAAAACCUGGCUCGGAUGCCACUGUUGGGGAACGUAGUAAUUUCAAAAAAAAUCCUACGCACACGCAAGAUCAUGGUGAUGCAUAGCAACGAGAGGAGAGAGUGUUGUCCACGUACCCUCGUAGACCGAUAGCGGAAGUGUUAUAACAACGCGGUUGAAGUAGUCGUACGCCUUCACGGCCCGACAGAUCAAGCACCGAAACUACGACACCUCCGAGUUCUAGCACACGUUUAGCUCGAUGACGAUCCCCGGACUCCGAUCCAGCAAAGUGUCGGGGAAGAGUUCUGUCAGCACGAUGGUGUGGUGACGAUCUUGAUGUUCUACCGUCGCAGGGUUUCGCCUAAGCACCGCUACAGUAUUAUCGAGGUGGACUAUGGUGGAGGGGGGCACCGCACGCGGCUAAGAGAUCCAAGGGAUCAAUUGUUGUUGUUGUGCCUAGAGGUGCCCCCCUGCCCUCGUAUAUAAAGGAGCCAGGGGGAGGGGGUCGGCCGGCCAGGAGGGGCGCGCCAGGAGGAGUCCUCCUCCCACCGGGAGUAGGACUCCCCCCUUCCUUGUUGGAGUAGGAGAGAAGGAAAGAGGGGGAGAGGAGGAAGUAAAAGGGGGCUGCACCCCUUGUCCAAUUCGGACCAGAGGGGGGCUGCGCGCCUCCUUCCUUUCGGCCUCUCUCCUCUAUUCUCGUAUGGCCCAAUAAGGCUCAUAUACUCCCCGGCGAAUUCCCGUAACUCUCCGGUACUCCGAAAAAUACCCGAAUCACUCGAAACCUUUCCGAAGUCCGAAUAUAGUCGUCCAAUAUAUCGAUCUUUACAUCUCGAUCAUUUCGAGACUCCUCGUCAUGUCCCCGAUCUCAUCCGGGACUCCGAACUCCUUCGGUACAUCAAAACUCAUAAACUCAUAAUAUAACUGUCAUCGAAACCUUAAGCGUGCGGACCCUAUGGGUUCGAGAACUAUGUAGACAUGACCUAGAACUGUUUCUUGUCAAUAACCAAUAGCGGAACCUGGAUGCUCAUAUUGGCUCCCACAUAUUCUACGAAGAUCUUUAUCGGUCAGAUCGCAUAACAACAUACGUUGUUCCCUUUGUCAUCGGUAUGUUACUUGCCCGAGACUCGAUCGUCGGUAUCUCAAUACCUAGUUCAAUCUCGUUAUAGGCAAGUCUCUUUACUCGUUACGUAAUACAUCAUCCCGCAACUAACUCAUUAGUUGCGAUGCUUGCAAGGCUUACAGUGAUGUGCAUUACCGAGUGGGCCCAGAGAUACCUCUCCGACAAUCAGAGUGCCAAAUCCUAAUCUCGAAAUACGCCAACCCAACAUGUACCUUCGGAGACACCUGUAGAGCUCCUUUAUAAUCACCCAGUUAUGUUGUGACGUUUGGUAGCACACAAAGUGUUCCUCCGGUAAACGGGAGUUGCAUAAUUUCAUAGUCAUAGGAACAUGUAUAAGUCAUGAAGAAAGCAGUAGCAACAUACUAAACGAUCAAGUGCUAAGCUAACGGAAUGGGUCAAGUCAAUCACAUCAUUCUCCUAAUGAUGUGAUCCCGUUAAUCAAAUGACAACUCUUUGUCCAUGGCUAGGAAACAUAACCAUCUUUGAUUAAUGAGCUAGUCAAGUAGAGGCAUACUAGUGACACUCAGUUUGUCUAUGUAUUCACACAUGUAUCAUGUUUCAAUUCUAGCAUGAAUAAUAAACAUUUAUCAUGAAAUAGGGAAAUAAAUAAUAACUUUGUUAUUGCCUCUACGGCAUAUUUCCUUCAGCCUAUUAUGGCUGGCGGCUCGGGUGUGCCAUUUAUAUGGUCCAGUGGGAGCGAGGCGGGCGGCGGUCAAAGGUUGUCUCGCUCCCGGUGAGCCUGCGCGGCGGACUUCUGGCAUUCCUACCAUCAUUUCACACAGCUACUCGCAUGCCUCCUAGUGACAGUACGCAGCGAAAACGCCUCCCGUCAAUUCACACACCUGCAUGCAGGCCUCCUAGUCUGCCUGCAUGGUGGAUUGCUCGCAUGCGUACCGUAAACUCACGCCUGCUCUCACGACACAAGGGGCGUGUGGCAGUAGUUAUUUUUUUUUUGUUUUUUGAUAAUUCAUUCUACCGCUUUACUGCUUAACCGAAGCAUGGCAGGUCUAAUGCACAUGAUUCGAAUAAAUAAUCCGUAUGAGAUAUUGGUUGCCAGUUAUUAACAAUCUCCCAUUUGUAAGAAGAUUAUAUCGGAACUUGUCUCAAAUUUGCCGGAAAAAAUACAACACUCUCAAAUUUGUCUACUAGUGGCCAUAUAUGACACCACAAUAAUUUUCAUGAAUUUCAACUAAGUUUGGAUUUACUGAAUUUGAAAAAUCAACACUCUCAAUCUUUUGAAAUCUCUUGCACGGGGAAACAUGCACCCAGGGACAGACAUAUGAUUUUGUAAUCCAUUUUGGUGCACACAUGUACCUCAAAUUUGAUUUUUGGACAUUAAAUCCCUAGGAAAUCAGUCAAUGUAUAAAACGAGUCAAAUGAUCUCUAUUUUUUUCAAACUUUAAGAUGACACUCCUUUGGUCACAUGUUCACUGCAGAAAAAGUUUGACAUGCCUCAGAGUGGUGCGGGAUGUGUGUCUGUGUGUGGGGGGGGGGGUCCGGCAGUGCACUACUAGUUGUGAGCCUCCGUGAUGUGGGAUUAUUAAUCAUUUUGUGAGUCAUGUAUAUAUGCCACAUCAAAGUCGUGAAUUGGUUAUUUAAAGCAUUACACAACCUUUUCAUACAUACAUGUUCGGGCCACAUGCAUGCAUUGGUGGUCCUCUCGGACACUCCCUCGUGCGGUUAGCAACGACGUGCCCAUUCGUUAGCCCGCAAAGGUUUUCAUUUUCCACCAACAACGAGAGGCAUCUGACCGAAGGUGGAUUCAUCUUGGCAUGUGUGUUACUGUGUGGAUCAUGGUGAGAUUCCAUAUCAAUGUUCGGGCACGUGCGUACACAUGAGUCCCUCCCACCGGCUCAAAGUGAGGGCGCUACGCAUAUUGUGAACCUCUGUGUAGUGCAUUUUCAGUUUGUGAAGCAUGUGCCAUGUCAAAGUUGUGAAUUGGGUAUUCAAACAUCACACAACACACAACAACAUGCAUGCGGUGGUUGUCCUAUGACACUCGCUCGCAAGUGACUCUCUCUCUAUGGGCCCGUGAGGUCUUCGUCGAUCAAUUGAACAUACAAUGAGAGAGAGGUUAAUUGACCAAAAAGGAUGGUUCUUGUUUUGUUUGUGUUACGUAUGUGCACGGUAGGAGUAUGUAGUACAUGUCAAAGAGGGGGCAACAUGUAUACUCUCUAUAUAUGUGUCAUAACCUGGCCCCAUGUGGGGACUUUCCGGUUCCCGAGGCAGGUGCCACAUCAAAAUUGUGCAUUGGUAUUCAAACAUCAUGCAAUACCAUGUGCUACGUCUUGAGCUUGCGUUGGUUUUCCUUGAAGAGGAAAGGGUGAUGCAACAAUAGUAGCGUAAGUAUUUCCCUCGGUUUUUGAGAACCAAGGUAUCAAUCCAGUAGGAGGCUCCUCAAAAGUCCCACGCACCUACACAAACAAACAAAGAACUCGCAACCAACGCAAUAAAGGGGUUCUCAAUCCCUUCACGGCCACUUGCGAAAGUGAGAUCUGAUAGAGAUAGUAUGAUAAGAUAAAUAUAUUUUUGCUAUUUUAUAAUAUAGAUGCAAAAAGUAAAGAUGCAAAUAAAAGUAGAUUGAAAGCUUAUAUGAUAAAAGAUAGACCCAGGGGCCAUAGGUUUCACUAGUGGCUUCUCUCAAGAUAGCAUAAGUAUUACGGUGGGUGAACAAAUUACUGUCGAGCAAUUGAUAGAAAAGCGAAUAAUUAUGAGAUUAUCUAGGCAUGAUCAUGUAUAUAGGCAUCACGUCCGUGACGAGUAGACCGACUCCUGCCUGCAUCUACUACUAUUACUCCACACAUCGACCGACUCCUGCCUGCAUCUAGAGUAUUAAGUUCAUAAGAACAAAGUAACGCAUUAAGAAAGAUGACAUGAUGUAGAGGGAUAAACUCAUGCAAUAUGAUAUAAACCCCAUCUUUUUAUCAUCGAUGUCAACAAUACAAUACGUGCCUUGCUACCCCUGCUAUCACUGGGUAAGGACACCGCAAGAUUGAACCCAAAGCUAAGCACUUCUCCCAUGGCAAGAAAGAUCAAUCUAGUAGGCCAAACCAAACUGAUAAUUCGAAGAGACUUCCAAAGAUAACUCAAUCGUACAUAAAAAAAUUUAGAGGAGAUUCAAAUAUUUCUCAUAGAUAAACUUAAUGAUAAACCCACAAUUCAUCGGAUCUCGACAAACACACCGCAAAAAGAGUUUACAUCGAAUAGAUCUCCACAAGAGAGGGGGACAACAUUGUAUUGAGAUCCAAAAGAGAGAAGAAGCCAUCUAGCUAAUAACUAUGGACCUGAAGGUCUGUGGUAAACUACUCACAACUCAUCGGAGGGGCUAUGGUGUUGAUGUAGAAGCCCUUCGUGGUCGAUUCCCCCUUCGGCGGAGCGCCGGCGGCGGUGGAAUUUUAUUUUCAUUGGCUCCCUGGAUGUUUUUGGGGUACGUGGGUAUAUAUAGGAGGAAGAAGUACGUCGGUGGCCGCUUGUGGGGCCCAGGAGAUAGGGGGCGCACCCAGAGGGGGUGGGCGCGCCCUCCUGUCUCCUGGCCGCCUCGCAAGCUUCUUGACUUGCACUCAAAGUUCUUCGGAUCACGUUCGUUCCAAAAAUCAUGCUCCCGAAGGUUUCAUUCCGUUUGGACUCCGUUUGAUAUUCCUUUUCUUCGAAAUACUGAAAUAGGCAAAAAACAGCAAUAUGGGUUGGGCCUCCGGUUAGUAGGUUAGUCCCAAAAAUGAUAUAAAUGUGUAAAAUAAAGCCCAUAAACAUCCAAAAGGGGUAAUAUAAUAGCAUGGAACAAUAAAAAAUUAUAGAUACGUUGGAGACGUAUCAAGCAUCCCCAAGCUUAAUUCCUGCUCGUCCAUGAGUAGGUAAAUGAUAAAAACAGAAUUUUUGAUAUGGAAUGCUACCUAGCAUAAUUCUCAAUGUAAUUUUCUUUAUUGUGGCAUGAAUUUUCAGAUCCAAAUGAUUCAAUAUAAAAGCUUAUAAAACAUAAAAAUAAUAAUGCUUCGAAGCAUACUAACAAAUAACCAUGUCCUAUCAAAAUAGCAUAGCCAAAUAAAGCUUAUCCCUACAAAAUCAUAUAGUUAGGCCAUGCUUCAUUUUCAUUACACAAAAUACUCCCAUCAUGCACAACCCCGGUUUCAGCCAAGCAAUUGGUUCAUACUUUUUAACACGCUUCAGCUUUUUCAACUCUCACGCAAUACAUGAGCGCAAGCCAUGGACAUAGCACUAUGGUGGUAUAUGGUGGUGGUUGUGAGGACAAAAAGAGGGAGAAGAUAGUCUCACAUCAAUUAGACUUAUCAAUGGGCUAUGGAGAUGCCCAUCAAUAGAUAUCAAUUUGAGUGAGUAGGGAUUUCCAUGCAACGGAUGCACUAGAGCUAUAAAUUUAUGAAAGGUCAACAAAAGAAACUAAGUGGGUGUCCAUCCAACUUGCUUGCUCACGAAGACCUAGGGCAUUUUGAGGAAGCCCAUCAUUUGAAUAUACAAGCCAAGUUCUAUAAUGAAAAAUUCCCACUUAGUAUAUGAAAGUGACAACAUAGGAGACUCUCUAUCAUGAAGAUCAUGGUGCUACUUUGAAGCACAAGUGUGGAAAAAGAGAUAGUAGCAUUGUCCCUUCUUUCUUUUUCUCUCAUUUUACUUAUUUAUUCAUUUUUCUUUUCUUUUUUUCUUUAUUCUUUUUUUUCUUUUUUUCUUUGGCCUUUUUUUCUUUUUGGCUUUUUUUUCUUUUUAAAGUCCGAAGUCUCAUCCCGACUUGUGGGGGAAUCAUAGUCUUCAUCAUCCUUCCCUCACUGAGACAAUGCUCUAAUAAUGAAGAUCAUCACACUUUUAUUGAUUUACAACUCAAGAAUUACAACUCAAAUCUAGAACAAGAUAUGACUCUAUAUGAAUGCCUCCAGCGGUGUACCGGGAUAUGCAAUGAAACAAGAGCGACAUGUAAGAAAAUUAUGAAGGUGGCCUUGCCACAAAUAUGAUGUCAACUACAUGAUCAUGCAAAGAGCAAUAUGACAAUGAUGAAGUGUGUCAUAGUAAACAGAACAGUGGAAAGUUGCAUGGCAAUAUAUCUCAGAAUGGCUUUGGAAAUGCCAUAAUAGGUAGGUAUGGUGGCUGUUUUGAGGAAGGUAAAUAAUGGGUGCAUGAUACUGGCGAAAGUUGCGCGAUAUAAUAGAGGCUAGCAAAGUGGAAGGAUGAGUGUGCGUAUAUCCAUGGACUCACAUUAGUCAUAAAGAACUCAUAUACUUAUUACAAAAUCCUACUUGCCCUCAAUACUAUGCAUGCUCCUAGGGGAAGGGUUGGUAGGAUCUAACCAUCACGCGAUCUCGACCACCACUCAUAAGGUAGACAAUUAAAAGAGCACCUCAUGCAACAAAUUUGUCACACAACUUUUACCAUACGUGCAUGCUACGGGACUUGCCAACUUCAACACAAGUAUUUCUCAAUUUCAUAAUUACCCACUAGCAUGACUCUAACAUUACUACCUCUAUAUCUCAAAACAAUUAUCAAGCAUCAAAUUGAUCAUAGCAUCCAAUUCACUUCCUAUGAUAGUUUUUAUUAUACCCAACUUGGAUGCUCAUCAUUCUAGGACCAAUUUUAUAACCAUAGCAAAUACCAUGCUGUUCUAAAAGACUCUCAAAAUAAUAUAAGUAAAGCAUGAGAUACUAGCAAUUUCUUCAAAAUUAAGCCACCGUCGUGCUCUAAAAGAUAUAAGUGAAGCACUAGAGCAAAAACUAUCAAGCUCAAAAGAUAUAAGUGAAGCACAUAGAGUAUUCUAGCAAAUUCUAAUCAAGUGGGAUUCUCCCAAAAGGUGUGUACAGCAAGGAUGAUUGUGGUAAACUAAAAAGCAAAGACUAAUAUAAUACAUGACGCUCCAAGCAAAACACAUAUCAUGUGGCGAAUAAAAAUACAGCUCCAAGUAAAGUUACCAAUUAAUGAAGACGAAAGAGGGGAUGCCUUCCCGGGGCAUCCCCAAGCUUAGGCUUUUGGCUAUUCUUGAAUAUCUUGGGGUGCCUUGGGAAUCCCCAAGCUUAGGCUCUUGCCACUCCUUAUUCCAUAGUCCAUCAAAGCUUUACCCAAAACUUGAAAACUUCACAACACAAAACUCAACAGGAAAUCUUAUAAGCUCCGUUAGUGAAAGAAAACAAAACCACCACAUAAGGUACUGUAAUGAACUCAUUCUUUAUUUAUUUUGGUGUUAAACCUACUGUAUUCCAACUUCUCUAUGGUUUAUAAACUAUUUUACUAGCCAUAGAUGCAUCAAAAUAAGCAAACAACACACGAAAAACAGAAUCUGUCAAAAACAGAACAAUCUGUAGCAAUCUGUAACUAACGCAAACUUCUGGAACUUUAAAAAUCCUACCAAAAUAGGAAGUCCUGGAAAAUUUGUCUAUUGAUCAGCAGCAAAAAAUAAUCAACGCAAAAGCACGUUUCUGUGAUUUAACAAAACUAAUUUCAUGCGUGCAAAGUUUCAGUUUUUCAGCAGAAUCAAAUCAACUAUCAUUAUAGGUUAUCCUAUAGGUUCUACUUGGCACAAACACUACUUAAAAGAUAAAAACACAUCUAAGCAGAAGGUAGAUGCAAAAUUUAUUACUAAACAGGAACAAAAACAAAAAACACAAAUAAAAUUGGGUUGCCUCGCAACUAGCGCUAUCGUUUAACGCCCCUAGCUAGGCAUAAAAGCGAAGAUAGAUCUAAGUAGUGCCAUCUUUGGUACUCAAUUCAUAAGUAGCUCGCAUGAUAGAUUCAUAAGGUAAUUUGACUUUAUUUCUUGGAAAGUGCUCCAUGCUUUUCCUUAAUGGAAAUUGGAAUCUAAUAUUCCCUUCCUUCAUAUUAAUAAUCGCACCAAUCGUUCUAAGGAAAGGUCUACCAAGAAUAAUAGGGCAAGAAAGAUUGCAAUCUAUAUCAAGAACGAUAAAAUCUACGGGCACCUUCUAUUUGCAACAAUGAGAACAUCAUUUAUCCUUCCCAUUGGCUUUUUAAUGGUGGAAUCUGCAAGGUGCAAAUUUAAAGAGCAAUCAUCAAGAUCAUGGAAACCUAGAAUAUCACAUAAAGUUUUCGGAAUCGUGGAAACACUAGCACCCAAAUCACACAAGGCAAAACACUCAUGAUCUUUAAUUCUAAUCUUUAUAGUGGGUUCCCACUCAUCAUUAAGUUUUCUAGGUAUAGAAACUUCCAAAUUAAGUUUUUCAUCAUAAGAUUGCAUCAAGGCAUCAACGAUAUGUUUGGUAAAAGCUUUAUUUUGACUAUAAGCAUGAGGAGAAUUAAUAACGGAUUGCAAAAAGGAAAUACAACCUUCUAAAGAAUUAUUAUCAUAAUAAAAUUCCUUGAAAUUCGAGAGAGUGGGUUCAAUACUAUUUAAAGUCAUGACCUCUCCAAUCCCACUUUUACCAAAUUUAGCAUCAAGAUCUAAAAACUCCGAAUUCUUGGGACGCCUUCUAACUAAAGUUGACUAAUCUCCAGUCCCAUUAUUAUCAAGAUUCAUAUUGCAAAACAAAGAUCUAAUAGGAGACACAUCAAUAACUUUAAGAUCUUCAUCAUUAUUUUCAUUGAAACUAGAAGAACACGCCUUUACAAAGCAAUCUUUCUUAGCACGCAAUGUAUCGGUUCUUUCCUUGCACUCAUCAAUGGAAAUUUUCAUUGCUUUGAGAGACUCAUUGAUAUCAUGCUUAGGAGGAGAAGAUCUAUGUUUAAGAGAAUCAACAUCAAGCGAAAGUCUAUCAACGUCCUAGCCAAAUCAUCAACUUUAAGCAAUUUAUCUUCAAGCAAGGCAUUAAAAUUCUUUUGAGAAAUCAUAAAUUAUUUCACACUAUUCUCAAAAUUAGAGGGCAUCUUAUUAAAAUUACCAUAAGAAUUAUUGUAGGAAUUUCCAUAAUUAUUAGAGGAAUUACUAGGGAACGGUCUAGAAUUGAAGUUUCCUCUGUAAGCAUUGUUACCGAAACUAUUCCUACCAACAAAAUUCACAUCCAUAGAUUCAUUAUUAUUCUCAAUCAAAGUAGACAAAGGCAUAUCAUUGGGAUCAAGAGGAAUAUUUUUAGUAGCAAACAACUUCAUAAGUUCAUCCAUCUUUCCACUCAAAACAUUGAUUUCUUCUAUAGCAUGAACUUUUUUACUAGAAGAUCUUUCGGUGUGCCAUUGAGAAUAAUUAGCCAUAAUAUUAUCAAGAAGUUUUGUAGCAUCUCCUAACGUUAUUUCCAUAAACGUGCCUCCCGCGGCCGAAUCAAAAAGAUUUCUAGAAGCAAAGUUCAAACCGGCAUAAAUUUUUUGUAUGAUCAUCCAUAAAUUCAAACCAUGAGUAGGGCAAUUGCGAAUCAUCAAUUUCAUUCUUUCCCAAGAUUGGGCAACAUGCUCAUGAUCAAGUUGUUUAAAAUUCAUAAUAUCGUUCCUAAGAGUGAUAAUUUUAGCGGGAGGAAAAUACUUAGAGAUAAAAGCAUAUUUGCACUUGUUCCAAGAAUCAAUACUAUUUUUAGGCAAAGACGAAAACCAAACUUAAGCACGAUCUCUAAGUGAAAACGGAAAUAACUUCAAUUUCACAAUAUCAUUAUCCGUAUCUUUCUUAUUUUGCAUAUCACACAAAUCAACAAAGUUGUUUAGAUGAGUAGCGGCAUCUUCACUAGGAAGGCCGGCGAAUUGAUCUUUCAUCACAAGAUUCAGCAAAGCAGUAUUGAUUUCACAAGACUCAACAUCAUUAAGAGGAGCAAUCGGAGUACUAAGGAAAUCAUUAUUAUUGGUAUUGGAGAAAUCACACAAUUUGGUAUUAUCUUGCGCCAUGGCAACAAGUAAUCCAACACACAAGCAAACAGAAAAGGCAAGCGAAAGAGAGAGAGAUUGGGAAAGAGAGGGCAAAUAAAACGGCAAGGGUGAAGUGGGUGAGAGGAAAACGAGAGGCAAAUGGCAAAUAGUGUAAAUGCGAGGGAGAUGAGUUUGUGAUGGGUACUUGGUAUGUCUUGACUUGAGCGAAGACCUCCCCGGCAACGGCGCCAGAAAUCCUUCUUGCUACGUCUUGAUCUUGCGUUGGUUUUCCUUGAAGAAGAAAGGGUGAUGCAGCAAUAGUAGCAUAAGUAUUUCCCUCAAUUUUCGAGAACCAAGGUAUCAAUCCAGUAGGAGGCUCCUCAAAAGUCCCACGCACCUACACAAACAAACAAAAAACUCGCAACCAACACAAUAAAGGGGUUGUCAAUCCCUUCACGGCCUCUUGCGAAAGUGAGAUCUGAUAGAGAUAGUAUGAUAAGAUAAAUAUAUUUUUGGUAUUUUAUAAUAUAGAUGCAAAAAGUACAGAUGCAAAUAAAAGUAGAUUGAAAGCUUAUAUGAUAAAAGAUAGACCCGGGGGCCAUAGGUUUCACUAGUGGCUUCUCUCAAGAUAGCAUAAGUAUUACGAUGGGUGAACACAGUACUAUUGAGCAAUUGAUAGAAAAGCGAAUAAUUAUGAGAUUAUCUAGGCAUGAUCAUGUAUAUAGGCAUCACGUCCGUGACAAGUAGACCGACUCCUGCCUGCAUGUACUACUAUUACUCCACACAUCGAUCGACUCCUGCCUGCAUCUAGAGUAUUGAGUUCAUAAGAACAGAGUAACGCAUUAAGAAAGAUGACAUGAUGUAGAGGGAUAAACUCAUGCAAUAUGAUAUAAACCCCUUCUUUUUAUCCUCGAUGGCAACAAUACAAUACGUGCCUUGCUGCCCCUGCUGUCACUGGGUAUGGACACCGCAAGAUUGAACCCAAAUCUAAGCACUUCUCCCAUGGCAAGAAAGAUCAAUCUAGUAGGCCAAACCAAAUUGAUAAUUCGAAGAGACUUGCAAAGGUAACUCAAUCAUACAUAAAAGAUUUCAGAGGAGAUUCAAAUAUUUCUCAUAGAUAAACUUGAUCAUAAACCCACAAUCCAUCGGAUCUCAACAAACACAACGCGAAAAGAGUUUACAUCAAAUAGAUCUCCACAAGAGAGGGGGAGAACAUUGUAUUGAGAUCCAAAAAGAGAGAAUAAGCCAUCUAGCUAAUAACUAUGGACCCGGAGGUCUAUGGUAAACUACUCACAACUCAUCGGAGGGGCUAUGGUGUUGAUGUAGAAGCCCUCCAUGGUUGAUUCCCCCUCCGGAGGAGCGCCGGUGAAGGCUCCAAGAUGGGAUCUCGCGGAUACAGAAGGUUACGGCGGUGGAAAUUGUUUUUUGUUGGCUCCCUGGAUGUUUUCGGGGUACGUGGGUAUAUAUAGGAGGAAUAAGUACGUCGCUGGCUGCCUGUGAGGCCCAGGAGAUAGGGGCGCGCCUAGAGGGGGUGGGCGCGCCCUCCUGUCUCCUGGCCGCCUCGCAAGCUUCUUGACUUGCACUCCAAGUUCUUCGGAUCACGUUCGUUCCAAAAAUCACGCUCCCGAAGGUUUCAUUCCGUUUGGAUUCCGUUUGAUAUUCCUUUUCUUCAAAAUACUGAAAUAGGCACAAAAAAGCAAUACGGGCUGGGCCUCCGGUUAGUAGGUUUGUCCCAAAAAUGAUAUAAAUGUGUAAAAUAAAGCUCAUAAACAUCCAAAAGGGGUAAUAUAAUAGCAUGGAACAAUCAAAAACUAUAGAUACGUUGGAGAUGUAUCACCAUGCAGGCGAUGGUUGCCAUAUAGGAACUCACUCGCAUGAGGCGCUUCCAUCUGUGGGCCCGCGAGGUCGUCGUCUCUCACUUUCACCCAACGAGAGAGAUGCACAUUUGACAAACAAGGAGGAAUAAUUUUUUAGGGAUGUGUUAGGGUAUGAGUAUAUAUAUAGUACGUGUCGAAAGGGGGAUGAGACCAACAUAUACUAGGUGUGACAUGGACCUCAUUCUGUGUGGGGACUUUGCGGUUUUUAAGGCAAAUGCCACAUCAAAAGGUUAUACAUUAGGUAUUGAAAACAUCACAACCACACACCUCUCCAUAUAUAUGUUUUGGCACACAUGCAAUCGAUGGUGGUUGUCAUGUGGCAUUCACUCACGUGGUUAUCAGCGUUGCUUCCAUCUGUCGGCCCGCUUGGUCCAUCACUUUCACCGACAGUGAAAGAGGCUAAUUAUUUUGACUUAGGAGGGGAUUAAUUUUUUGUUUGUCUCGCGAUAUAGGUCAUGAUAUGAGAUUACAUAUAUAAUAGCGCAUGUGUACACAUNNNNNNNNNNNNNNNNNNNNNNNNNNNNNNNNNNNNNNNNNNNNNNNNNNNNNNNNNNNNNNNNNNNNNNNNNNNNNNNNNNNNNNNNNNNNNNNNNNNNNNNNNNNNNNNNNNNNNNNNNNNNNNNNNNNNNNNNNNNNNNNNNNNNNNNNNNNNNNNNNNNNNNNNNNNNNNNNNNNNNNNNNNNNNNNNNNNNNNNNNNNNNNNNNNNNNNNNNNNNNNNNNNNNNNNNNNNNNNNNNNNNNNNNNNNNNNNNNNNNNNNNNNNNNNNNNNNNNNNNNNNNNUCUUACUCUGUGUGGGGACCUGUGCGAUUUUGAAUGCAUGCACUACAUUAAUAUGCAUGCGUCACGCACCUCCAUAAAUAUGUUUGGGACACAUGCAUGCAAUUGUUGUCUUUGGACGCUCUCACUUGAUUGGUUAUGGGCGGCAAGCCUAUAUAAAUUUGUGGGCCCGCGUGGACGUCCAUCAUUUUGACCGACGUCGAGAACAGUUACCAGGGUGGAUUCUUCUUCUUUUGUUCUUGUUACCAUAUUAGUAGGUCGAUCAUUCUAGGCCUAAUUAAGUUUGAGCACAUGCAUGCUAUGCAUCGGCAACCCUCGCUCAGUGUGGGGAUUUUACGGUUCCAAAGCAUGCAUGGUGCCACAUCAAAUUUGCACAUUGCGUAUUCAAACACCACACACACCUCUUCCAUAUACAUAACUAGUUGACCCGUUGCGCCAAAUGGCGCAGAGACCUGCUGCAAACAUAUUGUCGAUGAAAAUAGUUUCAUGCUGCAAGAACCUUCAACUAAAUCAUGCUAUUCUUUAAACAUGUUUAUUACGUUGUUAAAUAAUAGUCUGGGAAAAGGGAAACUUUGCAUAAUAUGAAUAUCUCAGUUUGAAAAUAUGGGCACUAUGAUGAGAGAGUAAAGUUGGCAUGAUUGUAUUUUUUUAGCAAGUUUGGAAACAUGGUUAUCAUGAUGAGAAACCUGGCUAUGCAUAUUUUUCCUAAAAAAGAGGGAAAAGGAUAAGAAACCUAAGAAAAAACAUGUCUUUGUUGUGCAUAUACGGAGAUAUAGGGAUCAGGAGGUAUUAGGAUAGCUCAUAUGUUAUUUAGCCCAACCCACGUAGAGCGAUGCAUGUGGCCUGUGAGGAGCUGAAUAAGAAACGGCAGGGGACAGAGCGAGUGAAGACUGUCUAUCCCCUUCCUUUCUUUCUCGGUUCGUCAGCUGGGUAACAAAUGGCGCAGAAAUUCCAUGUUUUAGUUGUUUUAGUAGCGGGCAAGCAUAUAUGAUAACAAAUUUAAUCCCCUUUAAUAAAAUAGAGACUUGUCAUCUACAAUGAGAUAUACCUACACAUUUUAAUUUGGUAGUAGAGUCCCAUUUCAAGACCAUGUCAUGUUGAAAAAAUGAGUAUUUUUCAGUAAUCUCCCGUUGCGCCAAAUUGCGAACACGCCAUACGUGCUUUGAAAAUAUUCCAUUUAUCAGUGUUGAGCAAGCACAUAUGGUUACUAUUCUAACCACUAUAUAAACAAAAUGAACGGGGACUUGUAUAAGGGUAACUGAAGUUCAAAAGAAAAAAGUGUUAUAUGUGUUGUUUUUCUGAUGAUUUGGGUCUUGGAACACCUGAAUAGGAAAGCAUAGUAUUGCAAGUAAGAAAAUGUGAAACAUUGCUAAUAACUUGCCUCAUAUACAUAAUAGUUUUAGGCCAUACAAGCAGUGAGGAAAAGAAAAACAGUCUAUAUGUGAUGAAGCAAGCCUAAGUCAAAUAGGUAAUGCCCAUACAACCAAAUUCAUUACAAUGGAUGGAUUUCAGUCCUAAAACUGGAAAGUAAAUAUGCAUAACAGAAGUGAACCGUAGAACGUGGUUUAUACAACUUCAUGAAUAUACUUAAUAUCCUGGCAGCACCAUAUCCAUACUACUUGAAGAAGUAAAUAAUCAAAUGACAAUCACACAUGAGUUGUAGGGUUUUAUCGUUUCCACUUUACAAUCCGAACAAAACUAUAUAAUUGAUCUGCAAGUAAUUACAUGUCAUGAUAAUAGCUUCGACAAAUAUCCAUCUUUUAUGGCAUAAACACAUAUAUAUUGAUUACAGUCAGUAAUGAGAAGUGAUGAUAGCUCACUAUAACAUCGUGCACACGCUUACUUUUACCAAAGCGCUGUUAACAGAGAGCCUCAAUCGAACCCUUAUGGUAUUAGCUAAGGGGAGGUUUCGUGUGAUUUUGAUAUUUCUCCAGCUUACGUUUUUCGAGUUGCCACGACUAUGGUGGAUGUCUUAAGAUUGUCAGAAUCAACAUUCCAAUAGUAAUGGGUAUAAUACAGUGUAGGAAACAUGGAAUUCUAACUAUAGCUAGACCCAAUCAAUAAGCAAUAUAGAUUUGCCCCAAUGGCAGUGUUAACAUGAAAAUAACGGAAGGUGAGAGAUAAAAGCUAGGUGGUAGGACUAUAAAGAGUGGCUGCAAGUCAGCGUCUCUAGUAUUCAGUCACAACGACAUUCAACUCCAGCCAGAGCAAUUCUCAGCUAUGCUUCCUUCUCAGUAGCACAAUAGCUGAAAAAUGUAACUUUCUUAAUAACUGUGCAUCAAUACCGCAAAUACACACUUACUGUGAUAGAUUCCAAACUUAGUACAAAUUCCCCUCUCCAGUUCAUCUUGAAAUUAAGAGUUUAGAAGAAAGUAAGAUUUCCGUUUGUGCUAUACCAAUCAGGAUACAUUUACUGUCGAAAACUAUAUAUAUAGAUGAUCAUGCGGCCAGAGCUAGCGCUCAGCAACAAUAGUCCAGUUCUCUUUUGUCCGCCACUUUCUCAAACUGAAGAUGAAUUGCUCGUUCCUAUCUCUAUGCCGUUACACAUGAGCAGACGACAUUUAGCACGGAAGGCUGAAAUUUCUAGGCAUCAAUCUUGUGAACAGAUGAGUUAUGAAGCAAAAGAUACAUACUGCAGAGUAAAACUACAUGAGAAAUGAUUAGUGGAAAACAAUAUAAUUUGUUUAUUGUAAGAACUGAAAACACCGGAGAACCAAUAUACUUCUUAUAGUAAUAAUUCAUAUCCAAAAAGUAAUCGAUUAUGGGAGCAUCUAACGCUGAUUUAAGCAGACAUUUCAUAAAAACAUGUCAAAGAAUUAUCAAUUAUAUCCAACUAAUUACUAAAACGGGAUUUACUGUCAGUAUACAUCUAUAUUCAGUUAGAAAUUAUGGAGAUCCAAGGAGAAUUAUCUAGGUUGUAUGACAUGAGUGCAUAAAUCUUACAAAGGCUAAUUAAUCAUCAGAUACCUUAACAUCUCAAAAAGCUUAAUCCUUAGAAUAUUUCCAUAUCUAGAAUGAAAAUAAUCACAUCAUGUAAUUACUAAAACAGGUACAAAAUACAGUCAAGUCGAUUUUUCAUUUUUACAGAAUAAUUGGUGAGCAUGACAUUGAGCUAUUGUAUCACUAAAAUGUAGCAGCCAAUGGGACCAGCAGAAACCUAUACAUCUAGAAGAAAAUAGUAUCCAAAAUUGUACCAUUGAAGGGAAAUGAUACUCAGACCAAGAUAAAGUCUGCUUCACGGCCACACUCACACAUUCAGUUACAAUCAGCUUAGUCGGCCUGUGAGAGGAGCCUGUGUGUACAUAUUGGACACUACCUGGAUACAUAUAGUUUGUUGUGAUGGAAGUCUCGGGCUCGUAAUGUGGAGAAGGGAACUGAUACUCAGACCAAGAUAAAGUCUGCUUCACGGCCACACACACACAUUCAGUUACAAUCAGCUUAGUCGGCCUGUGAGAGGAGCCUGUGUGUACAUAUUGGACACUACCUGGAUACAUAUAGUUUGUUGUGAUGGAAGUCUCGGGCUCGUAAUGUGGAUAUGGAUGACUCAAGCAGAGCGACAACAUGUGUACACAUAGAAAAUCAUAUAGUGGUUACUUAUCAAACUCAGUUAUUGUCUCAACUGGAAACAUGCAAGCGGAAUUCCGAGAAGAGAUAAUGUCGCAAUCAUCCAAAUGUGCGAUUAAAAAAGUGGUAUGAAAUUGAAGGAUUUCUAUUAACUUGCAAAAUCAGAAUAGUAUUGUCAAAGUGCAACAUUAUUUCAAUUUACUAAAAACUCAAAAAUGCUUGACCGUUAAGAACUUCUUUGGAAGUCAAGUUAAAAGUCCAGGUGGAUUAAUAUUCUUAGGAUAACUGGCCAAGUAUAUGUGCUAUAUUGAGUCUUCAAUUUAGGUUCUGUAUAUAUAGAUUCCUAGCCAAAAAUUACAGCCUAUACUAAUACUCAUCCAAAUGUGCGAUUAAAAAAGUGGUAUGAAACUGAAGGAUUUCUAUUAACUUGCAAAAUCAGAAUAGUAUUGUCAAAGUGCAACAUUAUUUCAAUUUACUAAAAACUCAAAAAUGCUUGAUCGUUAAGAACUUCUUUGGAAGUCAAGUUAAAAGUCCAGGUGGAUUAAUAUUCUUAGGAUAACUGGCCAAGUAUAUGUGCUAUAUUGAGUUUUCAGUUUAGGUUCUGUAUAUAUAGAUUCCUAGCCAAAAAUUACAGCCUAUACUAAUACUGUAAUACAUGACUGGAUAUCAAGAUCACCAGGAUAAAUAGUUUCCUUAUAGAAUCACGUAUGGUUGUGCAGCUAAUUAAACAUCUAGAUAAAUAUAAAGGAUAUACCUUCUUUUCAUCUGACAAUCUCCCGUAAUCAACCACACUUGUAAUAUCUUGGAAGGAGUUUGUGCCUGUAAUUGGGAGGGUCUUGUGAAAUGUUUAAUCUAGUUAUCCUUGCCUUCCUCUGUAGAUAACCAGGUGCAGUACUGAUCAAACAAAAAAAAUAUUCACAAGAAAUGAAAAGAGGGUUCAACAUUGCAAACAAAAAAUAGACCUGACAGAAAAUCAAAAGCUUAUAGACACAAACACAAAUAGUUGGUACCCAGAUCUUCAGAUCGGAAAUGACUUAGAUUUAUUUUUUCCUUAGAUUGCAAGGAUCAGAUCAUUAGAUUAGUUAGUACUGCUCACAAAAGGGUCCAAGUGCAAGUACUCACACGCCAAUGGAAGGCAGACCACGUGCACGAUGACACACGACCUGCUCUAUUUUCUUCAUGCUUUUUGCUUCAUUCCCAUACAAUGCCUGAAACCAGCAAGCACCAGGAUGGGGAUUAGAACUCUGAAUUUACACGCAGAUUAAGGAGAAACACACACACAAAGCUUCGAUACAAAGUUCAGUUAGGGUCCUCUCCGAGGAAAAGGUAUCCCCUC